UUAAGCGACUAAGCGUACACGGUGGAUGCCCUGGCAGUCAGAGGCGAUGAAGGGCGUGCUAAUCUGCGAUAAGCGCCGGUAAGGUGAUAUGAACCGUUAUAACCGGCGAUACCCGAAUGGGGAAACCCAGUGUGACUCGUCACACUAUCAUUAACUGAAUCCAUAGGUUAAUGAGGCGAACCGGGGGAACUGAAACAUCUAAGUACCCCGAGGAAAAGAAAUCAACCGAGAUUCCCCCAGUAGCGGCGAGCGAACGGGGAGGAGCCCAGAGCCUGAAUCAGCAUGUGUGUUAGUGGAAGCGUCUGGAAAGGCGCGCGAUACAGGGUGACAGCCCCGUACACAAAAGCGCAUGUGCUGUGAGCUCGAUGAGUAGGGCGGGACACGUGGUAUCCUGUCUGAAUAUGGGGGGACCAUCCUCCAAGGCUAAAUACUCCUGACUGACCGAUAGUGAACCAGUACCGUGAGGGAAAGGCGAAAAGAACCCCGGCGAGGGGAGUGAAAAAGAACCUGAAACCGUGUACGUACAAGCAGUGGGAGCCCCACCACUAAGCCAGUGGUGAACUCCACAUACGCAUCCUUUGCUGAGGAUACGGUUAACGGAGCGAAAGCGACGUUCAACCGCAAAAGAAGCAGAGGGGGCUUAGUGGUGGGGUGACUGCGUACCUUUUGUAUAAUGGGUCAGCGACUUAUAUUCUGUAGCAAGGUUAACCGAAUAGGGGAGCCGGAGGGAAACCGAGUCUUAAUUGGGCGUUAAGUUGCAGGGUAUAGACCCGAAACCCGGUGAUCUAGCCAUGGGCAGGUUGAAGGUUGGGUAACACUAACUGGAGGACCGAACCGACUAAUGUUGAAAAAUUAGCGGAUGACCUGUGGCUGGGGGUGAAAGGCCAAUCAAACCGGGAGAUAGCUGGUUCUCCCCGAAAGCUAUUUAGGUAGCGCCUCGUGAAUUCAUCUCCGGGGGUAGAGCACUGUUUCGGCUAGGGGGCCAUCCCGGCUUACCAACCCGAUGCAAACUGCGAAUACCGGAGAAUGUUAUCACGGGAGACACACGGCGGGUGCUAACGUCCGUCGUGAAGAGGGAAACAACCCAGACCGCCAGCUAAGGUCCCAAAGUCAUGGUUAAGUGGGAAACGAUGUGGGAAGGCCCAGACAGCCAGGAUGUUGGCUUAGAAGCAGCCAUCAUUUAAAGAAAGCGUAAUAGCUCACUGGUCGAGUCGGCCUGCGCGGAAGAUGUAACGGGGCUAAACCAUGCACCGAAGCUGCGGCAGCGAACGUAUCACUUAAAGCGAUUCAGCGGAUGACGAUUGACGGAGCGAAGCGACGUCAAAGCGUAUACAAAGUCGAGUCGGUUUAAGGAUACGUUCGUUGGGUAGGGGAGCGUUCUGUAAGCCUGCGAAGGUGGCCUGUGAGGGUUGCUGGAGGUAUCAGAAGUGCGAAUGCUGACAUAAGUAACGAUAAAGCGGGUGAAAAGCCCGCUCGCCGGAAGACCAAGGGUUCCUGUCCAACGUUAAUCGGGGCAGGGUGAGUCGACCCCUAAGGCGAGGCCGAAAGGCGUAGUCGAUGGGAAACGGGUUAAUAUUCCCGUACUUGGUGUUACUGCGAAGGGGGGACGGAGAAGGCUAUGUUGGCCGGGCGACGGUUGUCCCGGUUUAAGCGUGUAGGUGUGUGUUCCAGGUAAAUCCGGUUCACUUUAACACUGAGGCGUGACGACGAGGCACUACGGUGCUGAAGCAACAAAUGCCCUGCUUCCAGGAAAAGCCUCUAAGCAUCAGGUAACAUCAAAUCGUACCCCAAACCGACACAGGUGGUCAGGUAGAGAAUACCAAGGCGCUUGAGAGAACUCGGGUGAAGGAACUAGGCAAAAUGGUGCCGUAACUUCGGGAGAAGGCACGCUGACAUGUAGGUGAAGUGAUUUACUCACGGAGCUGAAGUCAGUCGAAGAUACCAGCUGGCUGCAACUGUUUAUUAAAAACACAGCACUGUGCAAACACGAAAGUGGACGUAUACGGUGUGACGCCUGCCCGGUGCCGGAAGGUUAAUUGAUGGGGUCAGCGCAAGCGAAGCUCCUGAUCGAAGCCCCGGUAAACGGCGGCCGUAACUAUAACGGUCCUAAGGUAGCGAAAUUCCUUGUCGGGUAAGUUCCGACCUGCACGAAUGGCGUAAUGAUGGCCAGGCUGUCUCCACCCGAGACUCAGUGAAAUUGAACUCGCUGUGAAGAUGCAGUGUACCCGCGGCAAGACGGAAAGACCCCGUGAACCUUUACUAUAGCUUGACACUGAACAUUGAGCCUUGAUGUGUAGGAUAGGUGGGAGGCUUUGAAGUGUGGACGCCAGUCUGCAUGGAGCCAACCUUGAAAUACCACCCUUUAAUGUUUGAUGUUCUAACGUGGACCCGUGAUCCGGGUUGCGGACAGUGUCUGGUGGGUAGUUUGACUGGGGCGGUCUCCUCCUAAAGAGUAACGGAGGAGCACGAAGGUUGGCUAAUCCUGGUCGGACAUCAGGAGGUUAGUGCAAUGGCAUAAGCCAGCUUGACUGCGAGCGUGACGGCGCGAGCAGGUGCGAAAGCAGGUCAUAGUGAUCCGGUGGUUCUGAAUGGAAGGGCCAUCGCUCAACGGAUAAAAGGUACUCCGGGGAUAACAGGCUGAUACCGCCCAAGAGUUCAUAUCGACGGCGGUGUUUGGCACCUCGAUGUCGGCUCAUCACAUCCUGGGGCUGAAGUAGGUCCCAAGGGUAUGGCUGUUCGCCAUUUAAAGUGGUACGCGAGCUGGGUUUAGAACGUCGUGAGACAGUUCGGUCCCUAUCUGCCGUGGGCGCUGGAGAACUGAGGGGGGCUGCUCCUAGUACGAGAGGACCGGAGUGGACGCAUCACUGGUGUUCGGGUUGUCAUGCCAAUGGCACUGCCCGGUAGCUAAAUGCGGAAGAGAUAAGUGCUGAAAGCAUCUAAGCACGAAACUUGCCCCGAGAUGAGUUCUCCCUGAGACUUAAAGUCUCCUGAAGGAACGUUGAAGACGACGACGUUGAUAGGCCGGGUGUGUAAGCGCAGCGAUGCGUUGAGCUAACCGGUACUAAUGAACCGUGAGGCUUAACCUU
rnacentral:rRNA from 1 species